rnacentral:rRNA from 1 species
AACGAACGCUGGCGGCAUGCCUAACACAUGCAAGUCGAACGAGACCUCCGGGCCUAGUGGCGCACGGGUGCGUAACGCGUGGGAACCUGCCCUUAGGUUCGGAAUAACUCCCCGAAAGGGGUGCUAAUACCGGAUAAUGUCUUCGGACCAAAGAUUUAUCGCCGUUGGAUGGGCCCGGGUUGGAUUAGCCAGUUGGUAGGGGAAAAGCCUACCAAGGCGACGAUCCAUAGCUGGUCUGAGAGGAUGAUCAGCCACACUGGGACUGAGACACGGCCCAGACUCCUACGGAAGGCAGCAGUGGGGAAUAUUGGACAAUGGGCGAAGGCCUGAUCCAGCAAUGCCGCGUGAGUGAUGAAGGGCUUAGGGUUGUAAAGCUCUUUUACACGGGAUGAUAAUGACGGUACCGGGAGAAUAAGCACCGGCUAACUCCGUG